rnacentral:lncRNA from 1 species
CUUUUUAAAAAAAAAAACAGAGAGCCUUUGCUCUCUCUCCCUCUCCCUCCUUCAUGGCCGACCAUGGGUUCAUCGGGGGGUCCUCCACGCCUACGCCGUGAACGGCGACCAAUGUUACGCGAAACGGGUCCCUUCGACGCUCUUUUUGAAUAGGUCCGAAGAUGGAGCCCUCAUGACCACAGCAACGCAAGGAAAAAGGGAAGGACCCUUCGGUUCUUCGUUCUCCAUCGCGGCCAAUGGUCGAACCCCCAGGGGUUCGGCGACCUUCAGGACGACGAGAGGAUGCCGUAGCGCACCCAAACAGUGAAUCGAAGGUGCGUUUUUUAUUACUAUUUCGUUCUUUUAUUAUUAUUACUUAAAUAUUUAUAUGCAAAAAAAUGAAGAAAAAUAAAAUAAAGAGGAACAAAGUAAGAAUCUUAAAUAAAAAUAAAGAUGAAAAUCACCUUCUGAAGUUUUCUUUUUUGUUAUUUCUAUUUUCUGAUGUUCGUAAAAAAACUACAAAGAUGAAAUUGUGGCUUUUAAAGCCGUUUACAAAACGAUUAAAUCAUAUUUUUUUGUCGUUUUCUCCAUUAGUUGCCUCUGUCUUGUGUGUGAACCUUCGUUUUGCAAGUGUCAGAGGCGUGGGUGAGUGGUGGUUGGCUCACGAGGAGGCGAGGCAGCGCGCGUGGUGGCUCAGCAUGCGUGGGGUGAGCGGCGGCUGAAGAGGGGGGGCUAGGGUUUGUUUGCUUGCUGAAAAUUUUGAUAGCUAAUGGGCUAGGGUUUAGUUUAGGCCUUGUAAUUUGGGUAGGAUAGGUUUGGGUAUGUUAUUGGGUUUUUGGUAUUUUUUAAUUUGGGCCAUUUUAAUGUGUAAAUGGACUGUUAAUAAAUAUUUAGAUUUUUACUUAUUUUUGGUUUAUUUUGUUUUAUAGACAUGGGUCAAAAUUGGCUAUUAUAAUUAUAAUUUUGGUUUCAUUUUACUCAAAAAAUUACCACCCAAAAAAUGUGGUUACAUAAAUAUACGGUCAAAAUACGUUACCAUUUC